rnacentral:rRNA from 1 species
AACGCGAGAGAACCUUACCAAGACUUGACAUCCUAGGAACCCUGUAGAAAUACGGGGGUGCCUUCGGGAGCCUAGUGACAGGUGCUGCAUGGCCGUCGUCAGCUCGUGUCGUGAGAUGUUGGGUUAAGUCCCGCAACGAGCGCAACCCUUGUCGCCUGUUGUAAUUUCAGGCGAGACUGCCCGGGCCAACCGGGAGGAAGGUGAGGAUGACGUCAGGUCAGCAUGGCCCUUACGCCUUGGGCUACACACGUCAUACAAUGGCCGGUACAACGCGUUGCCAACCCGCGAGGGGGAGCUAAUCGCAACAAAACCGGUCCCAGUUCGGAUUGGAGGCUGCAACUCGCCUCCAUGAAGUCGGAAUCGCUAGUAACCGUGGGUCAGCAUACCGCGGUGAAUACGUUCCGCGGGUCUUGUACACACCGAAG